rnacentral:pre_miRNA from 7 species
GUUUGGCUGAGGUGAAAGAACCUAGUGGGGAAACCCCCACUCAACUCCCGAUUCGGCAUGCACCCAAGAAUCACGAAUAGAACA